UCACCAGUAUUCCCCGCAAAUGGCGGUCGUGUGUUUGCUUAUAGUGGAUAUGAGUGAAACACUUGAGACUAUUUCGUGAAAUUUUUCUUAUCAAAACUUUGAAUAUUCCGUAUGGGCCUCAUGUAAAAACCUUUGUUGCAUUGUUGCGUCCAAGUGCGAAGUGAUUUGGAGCGCAGGUGGCGAGUGAAACGUCGGAGUAAACUGCGUAAAUGCAAAGUGUUUGUGCCGCGAAAAGUGCGUUUUGUGGAGGAGACGAAUCUGUAUUGAAAGUGGAUUUUCCCGAUGGAGUCCGGGCUCGGGGUUCAGCGGUGCUAAGUGUUGCUUGCAUCUUUCCUUCGUUGGUCCGGAAAAGAACGUCGUGGAGUUCACGUCCGCACGCAUUCAGACACCAAUUUCUCGGAUCGUCGCGUCUCGAAUGGUUUUCAUGCUAAAUGUUACGAUAAAACAAUCGUAAAAAUUGCGAUUAUAAAGGGUAAUGGCGGCCUCCACUCAAGGAGAAAUACGAGUGGGUUCCGGCCACCAGGUAAACGAUGUCUAUGCGAAAUUGCCCGAUUAUAAUCCAAUCUCAAGCUUUCCUAUUGAUAAAGAAUCUGAAAGGGAAUUGGAAGAUCCCCGAUGGAGCCCUGGGGUUGUCCUAGAUGGAGAUCUAUUAAUGUAUUUGCGAGCAGCCCGGUCAAUGGCAGCAUUUCAAGAAUUUCCAACAGGAAUGUGUGAUGGUGGUCUUGAAGAUGGUUGUUUAGCGGCUAGCAGAGACGAUACAACAAUUAAUGCCCUUGAUGUGCUUCAUGAUUCUGGCUACGAUCCCGGUAAGGCUCUUCAAGCGCUAGUUAAGUGCCCUGUAACAAAAGGAAUUGAUAAAAAGUGGACUGAAGACGAGACAAAAAAAUUUAUUAAAGGAUUAAGACAAUUUGGCAAAAAUUUCUUUCGUAUACAUAAAGAUUUACUGCCGCACAAAGAGACUCCAGAGUUAGUAGAGUUCUACUAUUUAUGGAAAAAGACACCUGGUGCGAACAACAACAGGCCGCAUAGAAGACGUCGUCAAGGAUCCCUAAGACGUAAUCGUGUUACGCGUGCAAGCAAUACACCUCCCAAGAAGGAGGAGACCCCCGAACCACAAACGGAGUCUCGCCCUUCACCGAUCUCGAAGGAAGAGAACAGCUCUUUGACAGAAGACGACGCAAGCGAAUGCGACAGCGAUUCAAGUUUAACCAACAAACGUGACGAAUCACCAUCCCGUAUGCGAACAAGAAACAAACCAACAAAAGAUCUCCCGAACAGUAAACAACGGCCGAAACGGGGAUCGGAGACACCGGAUAAUACAAAUGAAAAUCCGAAAACGCCAACGAAAAAUGACGGGAAACGGAAAGGCGGUAAAAUUGACAAUCCCAGCAAGAAUAAGAAGCGGCCCAUCGACACCGACGGAGAUAUUAGUGAUGAGAAGGAGAAGCGUAAACGACCAGAUAGUCCUGAUGAGAGUAUGAACUCUGAUAGUAGACCUGAUUCCGUUCUGGAUGAAGGAGACAACACAAACGAAGCACCAGAUCCACCAGAUAUCAUAAGUGGACCUAAAGAUGGCAGAGAAGAUGAGAAUCUUCUAGAUCCAUUAGCUUUACCUCCGCCGGUGGCGGACUCUCCAACUGUUUUAGUUGGUUCGGAGAAAGAUAUGGCCCAAGACGAUGAGUCCAAUCAACAACAGGAGUCGCCACUGGAAAAGGACCCUCUAGAGGAUGCUGUACCUCCCACGCAAACACCAUGUGUUCCAGCAUCAAUUCCUUUACCAUUGCAGCUAUCGGAAGAUAUCACCGACAAAGAACAACAGCAAAGGGAACAGAAACAACAACAAUCACAACAAGUUCCCCAGGCGCAAUCCGUUGUACCACAACCAAUAUCACACUCAUCUUCAUUGGACGUAUCGUCUGAAGAAAAUUCUAAUAGUAGUUACCUUCCCAAAGAGCAAGAAAUGCUUAAUAAAAUAGCAAAUAUAAAACAAGAAUCUUGUGGUCUGCCUGUAUCUAUUCCGAGAGUGCCGCCUCCGUCGCAACAACCACAACAACUUCAUCAACAGCCGCAAUCAAUCCAGCAACCAACUGGACAUCAAGAAUCAUCGCAAUCACAGCAGCCACCACAGCCAAUGUCACAAGCUCCAUUCAAUCCGAUCGAUUAUUCACCUAAGGAUGUCUACAUUAAGAAAGAGCCCACAGAAGACUCAAUGGAUGCAUGCAAUCAAAACAGCAAUGAACCGCAGGAUCUCAAAGUGAAAAUUGAAAUCAAAACAGAAGUGAAGCCUCAAGUCGGGGAUCAAAUCAACGCGGACAUGCCAGAUGAAAAAUUCGAGCCGCAAUUACUCGAUGGCCAUUUGAAGUUUGGCGGUCCAGGCGGUGCAAUGAAGUAUCCGAGUGAAAUCGAUAUGAAAUAUGGCAGUGAUUCGAUCAAGUAUACCCAAGAAGGUCCUGUGAAAUUCGCAGCAGAUCUCAAAUAUCCACCUCCAUGUGAUCCUAUGAAGUACGGGCAAGAUAUGAGCGCCGGGGCGAAGUAUGAUAUGAAGUAUGGCAUGGAACCGGGUAAAUAUCCAGGCGAAAUGGGCCCGAAGUCCUACGGGGACCCAAUUAAAAUUCCAGAUUUGAAAGCAUACCAUCAAGAUGCAGGCAAAUACCCACCACCUGAGGGUGCAAUGAAGUAUCCUCCAAUGGGUGAACCUAUGAAAUAUACCGGACCAGAUGGCAAACCUCAUUACGUGCAGGAAUCUCACCAUCCGCUCGCCAGGUCGCCAUACGAUUCGAAUAUCAUGAUGAAAUACGGUGAUCCGAUGGCAAAAUACGGAUUACCGCCAGGACCAAAUAUGCAACCGCAAGAUCUGAAGUAUCCUCCGCCAGAUCCAGGGCCCCUGAAACCUCCAUAUCAUGGGGAAAAUUUGAUCAAGGGGUCUCCGUAUGCGGAGAGUCCGGCUGGUAAAUAUCCUCCACCAGAAAGUCCAAUUGACGCCUCUUCCCGCACAACACCGAAUCAGGAUAGUCAGAGUAGCAACAGCAACUCACAGUCACAAUUCCAUUCACCGCACCCGUCGCAAAAUUCAUCACCGAUAAUACCGCAGGUGUCGAAUCACGUCGGUAUGCAUCCACAAAAUUUGGUAGCCAGUCAUCCCGGUCUUCCAGGGUCAAUGCAUCCUGUGAGUCAUUCUCCUAUGGUUUCUACAAGUUCUUCGCCACCAGUCACUGCACCUAACAUGCCCGUUGUGACGUCCUCGGCGUUAAUGCCUCCCAGUGCAACAGCUACUUCCACCGGUCCUGCAGGGCCCAUGGUUUCAUCCGCACACCAUUCAAGUGGCGGUGGUCCUCCGAGUCAUUUGACUUUGCACAGGCCUCAUCAAGACAUCCCGCCGUCAAUACAUCAUGGUUCUGUGCCACAUCCUCUACCAGGUCACAAUUUACCACCAAGUCACCAUGUUCCCAUUUCGAAUCAAGUGAGGACACCUUCUCCGGGUCCGCAACGGGUGAGUGAAGGAAGCAAUAGUAACAGUGCAAUGAAUCCUAGAGAACCGAAUCAACAACCUCCACCACCACAGCAUAGAAGUUCUCCUCUGGCAGCUCUUCCUCCAAGUCAAAGUUCCCUGUUGGGUUCGAUUCCUCUGCAUUUGGGAUCCUCGGCGCCACCAGGAAUACCAUUAACACAUCCAGGGCAUCCAAGUCAUAUGAUACCGCCAACGCUAUCGGGCAGCGGGCCUCUGCCUCUGAUAAAUAAUUCGUUGAGUGGAAUGGGAGAGCCUUUGCCUGGCCGAAGGACGCCUCCAAAUGUGGUAUCGUCGGCAGCAACAGGACCACCAACUCCUGCUGGACCAACUUCAGCAUUCAGUCGGGCGAGUCCUAGUGUACAAAGCUCUUCAUUGCAUAGUACCUCAUCACAUCGGUCCGUUUCUCCUGCUCAGGCGUCAGGUAGCAUAAGUCGUGCUAGCCCAUUGCAUCCGGUUCCACAAAGUCCUCUGGGUCAUCAUUCAUCUGCAUCAGCGCUCUCUGCAGCAGCGGCAGCAGUUGCAGAACGUGACAGACAUGCAUUGCUUCGCCAGCAAUCUCCUCAUAUGACUCCACCGCCAGUGUCAAGCGCGUCAGCUCUAAUGGCUAGCCCCCUCAGUAAAAUGUAUGGACCGCAAGGUCAACGUGGAAUCGGUUCAGCUUCGCCGCCUCAUCAUCUACGACCCGGCGCAUCUCCUCCCGUCAUUCGACAUCCGCAAAUGCCGCUGCCGUUACCUAUCAUUGGACCAGGCGGUGCUAUGCCACCGAUGGGUGUUCAUCCAGCUCAAAAUCCAUAUCCGCAUCAUCUUUUGCAUCCAUCGAUGUUUUAUGCGCAUCAUCACAAUCCUUUCCCGUCACCAUAUCCGUAUCAUCCAUACGGCCCUGGAUUUACCCCUUACAUGAAACCACCCCCACCGACCGGCCCUAUGGAGCCGACAGUUAUAGCGCCUGUUCAUCAUCCAAGUAUUUCGGCACGAUCAGCUGAGGAGACGCCAAGUCAUUCGGAUAAAUCAUUGUCGAUGUCUAGUUCACAAAAUUCACAGCACAAGCAACAAAUUAAACCUCCCACACCAAAGACUCCCCAAGGAAAUAGUACGAGUACGACCCCAACAGGUCCACCACCAUCGCAGUAUCCGAGCUCACAUCCAUACCCGCCACAGCAUUCUUCCUUCCCUGAUAGUCAAUUAUCUAGUUCACAAGCCAAACCCACGAGUCAUAUGGACGCUUUGAGAGCGCACGCUCAUUCGGCAAGCAGCAGUUUGAGCAGUCAUCAUUCAACAGAACCCUUGCCAAUUGAGAUUGAACCGGAUCCAGAACCAGAGAUCCCAAGUCCCACGCACAACAUCCCGCGGGGUCCAAGUCCUGAAGCCAAACCAGACGAUACAGAAUGUCAUCGAUCUCAAUCAGCAAUAUUUGUUCGGCAUAUUGACCGUGGUGAUUACAAUUCAUGCACAAGAACUGAUCUUAUCUUUAAACCCGUGGCGGAUUCGAAGUUGGCACGAAAACGGGAGGAGCGCGAUCGAAAGUUGGCUGAGAAGGAAAGAGAAAGGCGGCAGCAACAACAACAACAGCAGCAGCAGCAACAACAACAGCAAGCACAAGCUCAACAGGCGGCACAGCAGGCGAAACUUAAGGCAGAACUCAAGCCUGCAUAUUCGGACACACCAGCACUGCGGCAGCUUUCUGAAUACGCGCGUCCACACGUUGCAUUUAGCCCUGUUGAACCGAUGGUACCACCAUAUCAUCACGCAAUGGGGCCCAUGUAUAGUAGAGAGAGGGAACUCGAGGAGCUUAAGAAUGCACAGGCAGCUGUUGCUGUGGGACAGUCUCGUUUGGAUCCACAUUGGGUAGAAUACUAUCGAAUGAGAGGGAUUCAUCCAUCACAAUUUCCCCUGUAUGCGAACCCAGCGGCAAUAUCUCAACUUGAACGGGAACGGCUUGGCAUACCACCGCCACAUCAUGUUGGUUUAGAUCCGAACGACCCAAUGAUACGAUUGACGGGAGAAUAUCACGCUCAUUCUCAUACUCAUUUACAUUUGCAUUCACAGCAACAACCGGAAGCCGGAUUUCAACUGCCACCGAAUGUUCCACCAUAUCCGAGACCGAAUAUGCUGAUCCCGCGGGAGCCCCAUUCUGAUGUGUUACUUCGAAUGUCGUAUGCCGAUCAACUUCAGUAUUUGCAGGCCGCUGAAUUUCACCGACAGUCUUUGGAUCGGGCCCAUUCGUUACAUGAGCAAUAUUUCAGACAAAGACCGAGAUAAGAGGCCAUGCGGGAUUCUUCUGUUCAGUAAUAUUAAGAGUUUCCAGCGCUUUAAAAUUGUACAUCAUGAAAACACAAAAUAGUCUCAAUGAAACGACGUCAACAGUUUUCGGAGGAUGCAGUGCGUGCGCACCAUUUAAGUUUCUGUGUCGAAACACUCAAAGCAAAAUAUCUAACACAAUUAAGUCGAGUGUUGUAUGAAAUUUACCUAAUUUAUUCUGAUUUUUAGUCUAUUUUAUACUAUUCGGUGUGAAUAAUCGAUAAUAUGAGUUUUUGUGUGAGAUAAUUUCAAAGGAAAUAAUUUAAUUUAAGCAAUUUUCUCUGUAUGAAAUGAUCAAGUUGGAAGGGAGAAUGGUAUAGGAAUGUCGUUUUACCAAUAUUCAAACGAAAUCUUGCCUUGAAGAUUGAUUUAUCGUGUUGGAAAUUUCGGUUUCAUAAAGUCUUAAUGUUGAGAAUAAGUCGGUCCAGAUUUACUCAUUUGUAAACUAAUACAGUCAUCAAAUUACCGAGCAUUUUCGUGAAUUGUAAGGCACAAUCGAGUAGUGCGUUUUAGAAGAAAAGAGUAUCAAUCCAAAGUAUUGAUUUCGGGAAAUAAUUAAGAAGCUGCUUUCGGUAGCAAACGCGAAACGGACGCAAUAAGAUUUUAGUUGCAAGAUGAAUAGAUAUUGAUUUGUUUAUUACUGCACACCACCAGCCAUCGGCAGAGAAAGAGGAUCUAACAGGCGAUACUUAGGUACCAACUUAGAACAGCAACUAAUUUUCCAAUUUGCCAAAUAGUGAGGAUAGUUUGCGAAUAAAUUGAGAAGGAUAUAUUUUUCUUAGUCUAAGAUUUUCCAAGUACUAAAUUAUUCAUUACUCUUAAAUUGCUAUCGAUAAUAUAUAAUUUGAUUUAAGCAAAUAUUCAUGUAUUUGACAUAAUGUGUUCUUUAAAGUAACCUUUGAUUCUACAAUUAUUGUAAUCUAGAUUUGAAAUUCGAAUUCGUGUGCUAGCGCUCUCUCAUACUUAAAUCUUUAUGCAAGUGCAAAAUGCACACACAACACAACAACAAUCGUUGCUUCCUUAAAUAUGGCAUGUUCUUGAUUUGUGCUAACAUUACGGAAAAAUUUAUUUUCAUUAUUGUGAUUGUAACAAAUUUUAAUGUUACGAAAUAAUUAUUAGCUUUCUGUUGCUAUUCGGAAAAUUUUUCUCUAUAAGUUAAUUCGUAGGAAAUAUCAUAAACGAAAGUAUUUGACUAUAUUUUUACAAUUGACUAAGAUAGGAACGUUUAGUGUUUAGGAGGAAAAGCUUUAGUCUUUAUUCCAGUGGUGAAACGCUAACAUUUGAAUUUCGAGCAACAAAAAUAUCUAUAUUUCUGGGAAAAUUCAGGGAUCUUAAUAUGUUUAGGGAAAUGGCGGAGUCCAGUGACAUGAAAGGAGGGGGGAUAUAAAUGAAGUCGUGAAAACGCGAGAAAUUAGAAAAUAUUUCGUUUUAAUUUUGUUAUUGCAAGUUUGCACCGAAAUUUCGAGACAGUUAUCCUUGGCUGUCGUCUAAGCUAAAUGUGAUAGAAGACUACCAAUUUCUGUUACAAGCUUAGGAAGCUUCUGGUUUUUAUUUGCGGCGUCAAAAACCAUUGAAACUGCCACUUAGAUUUAUAUUUGUUAUAUUUUCCGUUUUAGAAUUUUGUUAGUAACGAUUUCAACCCAAUAAUAAUUUAUGUGCAGCAAUAAACUUAGAUUUCGAAAACAAAAGAAAGGAAAGAGAAUUUCACAUUCUAAAUCUGAAUAGUGAAUAGUUUUUACCGCUCCCAUUGAUCAGGCGUGAAACAUUUCCUUUCUGCAGGCAAUGGACACGAAACAUUAUGUAAAAAGAUCGAGUAAACAAAAGAAACAUUUUUUUUAAAUAUAUCUUUCUUUGAAAGUGAACAAUUAUUACUUAAAUUUAAGUUAAUGGAUAAGAUUGUAGUUUGAUUAUGUAUAUGUAACGGUAAGCUACAAAAGGUAUAAAGUUUGAUUUAGAUAUAUAAAAUAUUAAAAAAAAAAAGAAAAGAAAAGAUCAUUCUAUUUAAAUGAACGCUAUAUAAAUACAAAUAUAUAAAAAUAAAGGAUUUAGAGUAAGGAGUGUACUAUAUCAAAAAUAUAUGAUAAGAAAAUAAUUUUGUAGAUGAGAAUUCGAAAAAAAAAUAAUUGAAGGAUAAAAAAAAUAAAAUAUUGUAUUUUAUUGCAA
rnacentral:misc_RNA from 1 species